rnacentral:rRNA from 1 species
GGGGGACCUGAUGCAGCGACGCAGCGUGCGGGAUGACGGCCUUCGGGUUGUAAACCGCUUUCAGCAGGGAAGAAGCGCAAGUGACGGUACCUGCAGAAGAAGUACCGGCUAACUACGUGCCAGCAGCCGCGGUAAUACGUAGGGUACGAGCGUUGUCCGGAAUUAUUGGGCGUAAAGAGCUCGUAGGUGGUUGGUCACGUCUGCUGUGGAAACGCAACGCUUAACGUUGCGCGUGCAGUGGGUACGGGCUGACUAGAGUGCAGUAGGGGAGUCUGGAAUUCCUGGUGUAGCGGUGAAAUGCGCAGAUAUCAGGAGGAACACCGGUGGCGAAGGCGGGACUCUGGGCUGUAACUGACACUGAGGAGCGAAAGCAUGGGGAGCGAACAGGAUUAGAUACCCCCAGUAGU